rnacentral:rRNA from 1 species
UACGGGGGGGCAAGCGUUGUUCGGAAUUACUGGGCAUAAAGGGCUCGUAGGCGGCCAACUAAGUCGGAUGUGAAAUCCCCAGGCUCAACCUGGGAACUGCAUCCGAUACUGGAUGGCUUGAAUCCGGGAGAGGGAUGCAGAAUUCCAGGUGUAGCGGUGAAAUGCGUAGAUAUCUGGAGGAAUACCGGUGGCGAAGGCGGCAUCCUGGACCGGCAUUGACGCUGAGGAGCGAAAGCUAGGGGAGCAAACGGG